rnacentral:rRNA from 1 species
GGUGAAAAGCACCCCGGAAGGGGAGUGAAAUAGAACCUGAAACCGUGUGCUUACAAGUAGUCAGAGCCCGUUAAUGGGUGAUGGCGUGCCUUUUGUAGAAUGAACCGGCGAGUUACGAUUUGAUGCAAGGUUAAGCAGUAAAUGUGGAGCCGUAGCGAAAGCGAGUCUGAAUAGGGCGUUUAGUAUUUGGUCGUAGACCCGAAACCAGGUGAUCUACCCUUGGUCAGGUUGAAGUUCAGGUAACACUGAAUGGAGGACCGAACCGACUUACGUUGAAAAGUGAGCGGAUGAACUGAGGGUAGCGGAGAAAUUCCAAUCGAACCUGGAGAUAGCUGGUUCUCUCCGAAAUAGCUUUAGGGCUAGCCUCAAGUGAUGAUUAUUGGAGGUAGAGCACUGUUUGGACGAGGGGCCCCUCUCGGGUUACCGAAUUCAGACAAACUCCGAAUGCCAAUUAAUUUAACUUGGGAGUCAGAACAUGGGUGAUAAGGUCCGUGUUCGAAAGGGAAACAGCCCAGACCACCAGCUAAGGUCCCAAAAUAUAUGUUAAGUGGAAAAGGAUGUGGCGUUGCCCAGACAACUAGGAUGUUGGCUUAGAAGCAGCCAUCAUUUAAAGAGUGCGUAAUAGCUCACUAGUCGAGUGACACUGCGCCGAAAAUGUACCGGGGCUAAACAUAUUACCGAAGCUGUGGAUUGUCCUUUGGACAAUGGUAGGAGAGCGUUCUAAGGGCGUUGAAGCAUGAUCGUAAGGACAUGUGGAGCGCUUAGAAGUGAGAAUGCCGGUGUGAGUAGCGAAAGACGGGUGAGAAUCCCGUCCACCGAUUGACUAAGGUUUCCAGAGGAAGGCUCGUCCGCUCUGGGUUAGUCGGGUCCUAAGCUGAGGCCGACAGGCGUAGGCGAUGGAUAACAGGUUGAUAUUCCUGUACCACCUAUAAUCGUUUUAAUCGAUGGGGGGACGCAGUAGGAUAGGCGAAGCGUGCGAUUGGAUUGCACGUCUAAGCAGUAAGGCUGAGUAUUAGGCAAAUCCGGUACUCAUUAAGGCUGAGCUGUGAUGGGGAGAAGACAUUGUGUCUUCGAGUCGUUGAUUUCACACUGCCGAGAAAAGCCUCUAGAUAGAAAAUAGGUGCCCGUACCGCAAACCGACACAGGUAGUCAAGAUGAGAAUUCUAAGGUGAGCGAGCGAACUCUCGUUAAGGAACUCGGCAAAAUGACCCCGUAACUUCGGGAGAAGGGGUGCUCUUUAGGGUUAACGCCCAGAAGAGCCGCAGUGAAUAGGCCCAAGCGACUGUUUAUCAAAAACACAGGUCUCUGCUAAACCGUAAGGUGAUGUAUAGGGGCUGACGCCUGCCCGGUGCUGGAAGGUUAAGAGGAGUGGUUAGCUUCUGCGAAGCUACGAAUCGAAGCCCCAGUAAACGGCGGCCGUAACUAUAACGGUCCUAAGGUAGCGAAAUUCCUUGUCGGGUAAGUUCCGACCCGCACGAAAGGCGUAACGAUUUGGGCACUGUCUCAACGAGAGACUCGGUGAAAUCAUAGUACCUGUGAAGAUGCAGGUUACCCGCGACAGGACGGAAAGACCCCGUGGAGCUUUACUGUAGCCUGAUAUUGAAAUUCGGCACAGCUUGUACAGGAUAGGUAGGAGCCUUUGAAACGUGAGCGCUAGCUUACGUGGAGGCGCUGGUGGGAUACUACCCUAGCUGUGUUGGCUUUCUAACCCGCACCACUUAUCGUGGUGGGAGACAGUGUCAGGCGGGCAGUUUGACU